AGGACGAACGCUGGCGGCGUGCUUAACACAUGCAAGUCGAGCGGAAAGGCCUUUCGGGGUACUCGAGCGGCGAACGGGUGAGUAACACGUGAGUAAUCUGCCCAUCGCUUCAGGAUAGCCAUCGGAAACGGUGAUUAAUACUGGAUAUGACAUUCCUUCGCAUGUUGGGGUGUGGAAAGUUUUUUCGGCGGUGGAUGUGCUCGCGGCCUAUCAGCUUGUUGGUGGGGUAAUGGCCUACCAAGGCUUUGACGGGUAGCCGGCCUGAGAGGGUGACCGGCCACGACUGGGACUGAGACACGGCCCAGACUCCUACGGGAGGCAGCGAGUGGGAAUAUUGGACAAUGGGCGGAAGCCUGAUCCAGCGAACGCCGCGUGAGGAUGACGGCCUUCGGGUUGUAAACCUCUUUCACGCACAGACGAAGUUUUG
rnacentral:rRNA from 1 species